rnacentral:rRNA from 1 species
GACGAACGCUGGCGGCGUGCUUCAUACAUGCAAGUCGAACGAGAAGCUGACUUCGGUCAGUGGACAGUGGCGGACGGGUGAGUAAUAUGUAGGAAAUCUGCCUUUAGGAGGGGGACAACAGAGGGAAACUUCUGCUAAUACCCCAUAUGAGCGUAGCUGAAAUGCUAUUCUUGAAAACUCCGGUGCCUAAAGAUGAGCCUGCAUCUGAUUAGCUAGUUGGUAGUGUAAUGGACUACCAAGGCGACGAUCAGUAGCUGGUUUGAGAGGAUGAUCAGCCACAAUGGGACUGAGACACAGCACAGACUCCUACGGGAGGCAGCAGUAGGGAAUUUUGCGCAAUGGGCGAAAGCCUGACGGAGCAACGCCGCGUGAACGAUUAAGCCCUUCGGGGUGUAAAGUUCUGUCAGUGGGGACGAAACUUGACGGUACCCACAGAGGAAGCACCGGCUAACUCCGUG